UACUCACAGCUGAACAGCCCCCCACCCUUCCUCUCCUCCUCUUCUCCCCCUCCCCUCUCCUCUCUUCCUCUACAGCCUAUAAUCCAGUGCUGGGUUACAGACACAGUUUCCUACAGCGUCUUCCUGGGUGGCCCACUGCUCACUAACCCAGUCAGUCAGUCAGCCAGCCAGUCACUCAGCCUGCCAGUCUGCCAGUCACCCAGCCAGUCAGCCAGCCAGUCAGUCACACAGUCUGCCAGCCAGCCAGUCAGCCAGCCAGCCAGUCUGCCAGCCACACAGCCAACUAGUCUGCCAGCCAGUCAAUCAGCCAGUCAGCCACCAGCCAGCCAGCCAUUCUAACAGUCACACAGUCACCCAGCCAUCCAGUCAGUCAGUCAGCCACUCAGCCAGCCAAUCACCCAUCCACCCAGCCAAUCACCCAUCCAACCAGUCAGCCAGCCAGCCACCCAGUCACCCAGUCACCAAGCCAACCAUUCACAUACACAUCCAGCCAGCCAAUCACCCAGCCAGCCAGCCAGUCACACAGCCAAUCACCCAUCCAGUCAGCCAGUCUGCCAGUCACCCAGCCAGCCAGUCUCCCAGUCAGCCAGUCACCUAGCCAGUCACCUAGCCAGUCACCCAGCCAGUCAGCCAAUCACCCAUCCAGCCAGCCAGUCUGCCAGUCACCCAGCCAGCCAGCCAGCCAGUCAGCCAGUCACCCAGCCAGGAAUCCAGCGAGUCAGGCAGUCACCCAGCCAGCCAGUCAGCCAGGAAGCCAGAGAGUCAGCCAGGCAGUCACCCAGCCAGUCAGCCAGUCAGCCAGGCAGGAAGCCAGAGAGUCAGCCAGUCAGCCAGGCAGUAAAGAGCAGCAUUAAGAUGAAUAGUACACAGCUGUUUUCCUUGACC
rnacentral:lncRNA from 1 species